rnacentral:rRNA from 1 species
CCUACGGGUGGCUGCAGUGGGGAAUAUUGGACAAUGCGCGAAAGCCUGAUCCAGCCAUGCCGCGUGUGUGAAGAAGGCCUUCGGGUUGUAAAGCACUUUCAGUGGGGAAGAAAGCCUUGGGGCUAAUACCCUCGAGGAAGGACAUCACCCACAGAAGAAGCACCGGCUAACUCCGUGCCAGCAGCCGCGGUAAUACGGAAGGUGCGAGCGUUAAUCGGAAUUACUGGGCGUAAAGCGCGCGUAGGCGGUCUGAUAAGCCGGUUGUGAAAGCCCCGGGCUCAACCUGGGAACGGCAUCCGGAACUGUCAGGCUAGAGUGCAGGAGAGGAAGGUAGAAUUCCCGGUGUAGCGGUGAAAUGCGUAGAGAUCGGGAGGAAUACCAGUGGCGAAGGCGGCCUUCUGGACUGACACUGACGCUGAGGUGCGAAAGCGUGGGUAGCAAACAGGAUUAGAUACCCCUGUAGUC